UUUCCCCAGGGUCACAUGAAGCGUGCCUCUCCCUCGCAUUACCUCAGCCUUCUCAUCUGCUCUCUCCCCUUCGUCCCCUGUCGAUCCUUUCUCCGACGAUGUCUUCGCCAAGUUCCUCCUCACUCCCCUGUCAUAAUCACAACAUCAACAUUUCCAAAACGACACCAAGGAGGUUCGAAAUGACGAUGACGAUGAGGACUGCGUGAACAACGGUGUCGUUUCGUUCGCGAAGAUCCUCACUCCCUCCGAUGCCAACAACGACGACGGCUUCUCCGUGCUGCACUUCUGCACCGACUCGUGCUUCCCUUCGCUGGACUUCCGCGCCAAUCCGCCUGUCCAGCUCCUCUCUGUCGCCGACAUCCGCGGCGUCGAGUGGCACUUCCGCCACAUCUAUCACGGCACACCGUGUCGCCACCUCUUCACCACCGGCUGGAGUAAGUUUGUCAACCACAAGAAGCUCGUCGCUAGCAACACCAUCAUUUUCGUCAAGGACUCCAACGGUAGCGUCUCUGUCGGAAUCUGUUGUGUGGCUUGGUUUGUGGCUGCGAUCGAGACUCCGCUGCCUGUAGAACGGGAGGAUUUUCGUGGUCCGCGAUGAGGAGAGUGACUGCGGAGGCCGUGGCGGUAUUUUGAUAAUGCAAUUGUUCCUAAAUUUUAAUUAUGAAAUAUGGAGAAAAGAAACACUCAACUGCACACAUGGGAGUCUUCGAGAUACCAUUGAAGAUUUAAGGCGUUCAUUGCAACCUAAAAAGAGUGCUAUUGAGGCAUUGCAACAAUUAGUUGCAGAAAAGGAACAGAUGUUGGAAGAUAUGAGAAGGUUGCUUCAGGCUGCUGAAGAAAAAAGGCAAGCGGCACUAGCUGAGCUCUCAGCUAAACAUCAAAAGAAUAUACAGAGUUUGGAGGCUCAACUUAAUGAUGCAUUGUUCGACAAAAGUAAGGCAUUUUUUUUCCAUAACAGUGAUGAUUAUGUGUAGGUCAAUUGGUCCUACACCUACACCAGGCCCAGUUAUACCAGAAAACAGCAUCAUUCAAUCCCAAAGGAUUGGUGGACUGAGGAUGUGUCCGAUCUUAACAUAGAUCUUUUCAGUUACUGUUAGUGAAGUAGAGGUCUUGCAUGAACUCUACACGAAGUUGAGAAAUUCAAUUAUUGAAGAUGGUCUUAUUCACAAGCAUGAGAUUUACUAUUGCACCCCUGUUUACCAAUGCUCCUAAUUUUCCAAGAUUCCUAACGGGCAACAUGCUAAGUGGUAAUGUACGUGAGUCAGUCUUGAUGGAUGGAAGCAGUCUGUAUAUUUCUUACUCAGUGAAUUUAACUUUAAUAUUGCAAAACGUAUAUUUUAUUGUUCCAAUGCAAGUGUAUUAUGAGCUGUUGACGUAU